GACGGAGGGGGCGAGCGUUGUCCGGAAUUACUGGGCGUAAAGCGCACGUAGGCGGAUGCGUACGGCGGUGGUGAAAGCUCCCGGCUCAACUGGGAGAGGCCCAUCGCAACGGCGUGUCUCGAGGGUGGUAGAGGCGGAUGGAAUUCCUGGUGUAGCGGUGAAAUGCGUAGAGAUCAGGAGGAACACCCGUGGCGAAGGCGGUCCGCUGGGCCACGCCUGACGCUGAGGUGCGAAAGCCAGGGGAG
rnacentral:rRNA from 1 species